rnacentral:rRNA from 1 species
CGGAGGGUGCAAGCGUUGUCCGGAUUUAUUGGGUUUAAAGGGUGCGUAGGCGGCUAUUUAAGUCAGUGGUGAAAUCCUGCAGCUCAACUGUAGAACAGCCAUUGAUACCGAAUAGCUUGAGUACAGACGAGGUAGGCGGAAUUUAUGGUGUAGCGGUGAAAUGCAUAGAUACCAUAAAGAACCCCUAUUGCGAAGGCAGCUUACUAGGCUGUAACUGACGCUGAGGCACGAAAGCGUGGGGAUCAAACAGGAUUAGAUACCCUGGUAGUCCACGCCGUAAACGAUGAUUACUCGAUGUUCGCGAUAUACAGUGAGCGUCCAAGCGAAAGCGUUAAGUAAUCCACCUGGGAAGUACGAUCGCAAGAUUG